AUACUACUCCCUCCGUCCCAAAACUCUUGUCUUAGAUUUGUUUAAAUACAGAUGUAUCAAGUCACGUUUUAGUAUUAGAUACAUCUGUAUCUAAACGAAUCUAAGACAAGAAUUUUGGGACGGAGGGACUAUUAA
rfam:Triticum aestivum genome assembly, contig: Triticum_aestivum_CS42_TGACv1_scaffold_577130_7BL